AAUAAAUAACAAAGAGUAGAUGGAUAAAGCUCGAUCGAGAGCGGCCGCGGAGAGGGAAAGGUGGGAAAAAGCGAAGAGAAAAGGGAGAGUGAAUGAGGGGUGGUGGCGAGGGGGAUAGAAACAGGCAGCCGGUCGUUAGAUGGGUAGCGCGCGAAAGGUGGUCGGUGGAGAAGGAGGAGGAGGAGGAGGUGGAGGAGGAGGAGGAGGAGGUGGAAGGGCGGCGGUAGAAGGGUAGCCAUAAAAGUUUAUGCUCUCCAUAUGUUGUAAUAUAGUCGGUAGCAAGCGGCAGGGUGCGGGGGGAGAUCGGUAAAAUAUGCGGGCAAUAAGUAUGGAUUGUUAUUAACACGGGGCGCGCGGUGUCCGCCGCGUUUCUGAAUCCAUUACCUCCGCAUGGCGGCUGAAAUACCGGCCGAUAUAUCCGACCUGGUGUGUACAUCGCCGCACCAAUGGCGAGGGAAAGAGUAGAGGCGGCAUGAGCGCUAGAUAGCGAAUGCGAGAAUGAGAAUGAGAAUGGGGGAGGGAGAGAGAGAGAGAGAGAGAGAGAGGAGAGAGGAUUCGGAGAGCGUAUGAAUGGAUUAGCAGGCGCGGUGCGGCUAAAAUUACGAUCGGAUUUCACGUGCCCCGUACACCCAGGGCCAGACGUAUACGUAUGCACGCUCUCCUAACCCGCGUGCAUACCAACCCGCUAUUCACUUUCUGUCACGCCAAGAAAAUGGCAACCCGUGACCCUCCCGUCACCCAAUUUCGCGUCGAUCGAAACGAGAAAAAUAUAUGUGUAUAUACAUUUGUAUUGUUACAGUUUCUUUUAAAACUAUGCUUACACGAGGGUCGCAACACCUUUCCAGACUCUUAAAAUGGAAAGACAAAUAAUGGCGGUGGAACGAGCGCGGCAGACGACUGAUGGGUCUGGCAUGGCUCUAACUAGACGCAAUCAAGCGAGGAGCUUGGAGUUUGCGGCUGGUUACGAGAAGAGAGAGGGAGAGAGAGGGAGGAAUGAAGACUAACAGCGUGUCGCUCGGAGGCUAACCAGAAGUAAUGCUACCUCGGAUCAAUCUCCCUCCCCCCCUCCCUCCUAUCUGGAAUCCAAAGCCGCGCGACCGAGGACGAGAUAGAGAGCGAAACUCUCUCUAUCGCCGGACCGACAACAACAUCGACAUCGACAUCCACGUCAAUCUUAUUAUCGCGAUAAUUCUCUUCUUCCACGAUUAUUUUUGUCAUCGGCGAUGGAUAAGUUUCUUUCUUGCGAUUACUGUUGCAUAUACGAAAAUUUAAUUCAAAUCUCGUUUCUUUUUAUUAGGAAGUUACGGAAGCUUACGGAAGAUAUUUUCGCAGCGAUGAUUCCAAACUUUUGAAAAAAAAAGGUGAGAAUGAUUUCGCAACUCUGAAAGUUUCCGCGAAUUCGUAAUUUGCGAGAAAAGAAUACGAAUAUCGAAGGGAGUUAGUUUUAGAAGAAAAAAAAAAAAUUGAAAUAAAUUCAAUCAUAAUUAAAUUAAAUCGAUAAUAAUUUCCUCGAUCAAUCGUGAGAUACGCAUAAUUUUUCGAAAAGAAAAAUCUCUCUUCUCGGCGAAGAAAGAAAAAUAAUAAUAAUGAGCGAAAGAUAUAUAACUCGCGGUGUAUAAACGGUGUAUACAUACACAGAGAUACGGGAGAGGCGUCGUUUAAAGGCUGGACGAAAGUGGCGCAAAGGUGGGCGAGAGAAUCGCGCGACGCGACCGAAUCGCUGCGGUAUUUAUCGCUAUCCGAAAUACAUUCAUUUUCAUUUCGAACAUUACGUGCGAGUAGCGGAGAAGGGUGGCGGAGGAGGAUGAGGAGGAGGAGGAGGAUGGCGAUCGAAGGGGAACGAAAAGUGGUAGGGGAGUGGUGCGGGAGCGCGAGAGGGGGGGCAGGAGCGAAGGGAAGCAUCAGCAGCACCGCCAGCAGCCAGGGUAUUACCAAGAGCCAAUGAUAUAGUGACUAUUACCGUCACUACAUACUCGUGCGCGGAGUGAUGGCGGGUGACUGCGUGCUUCGAUAGCGCUAAGCCUCGGGGCAGUAAAAUACAUUGGUCCGGUGGCUGUGAUCCGGCCGUAUCAAUGCUGCCGCUUGCCCGUUAUGCACGCGGACUCGCCACCGUCACACUCCCUCCCCUCGCCCCCCCCCCUCCACUUAUGCGAGGAUCCACCGCGAGAGGGACCCAUCACGACCCAUCACGGCCCGCUGCGAAACCUUUCCGUUGACAACCGCUCUUAAUCUUGCUCGACCGCCUAACUCGUCACCCACUCUUCCCCUCGGUUUCUCUCCUUCUAAGCAUCGUUGCUGCUGCCCUCUGCUUCUUUUCGCUUCAACACUCGUGCAUAGAACGUGUAUACAAAGUGAGUAUAGAAGGUGUAGACUCGCUGUUGAAAAAGUGACGGGUUAAAAAUUUCGAAUAAAGUUUUACCACUCGUAAUUGUAUACGGAGCUAAGAGAUUAUUAUCACGUUUUGAACGAUAAAUUAUUAUAUGAAAAACAGGGAGGAGUGUCUAACGCACGAUUGUUACACGUACGUGUAGAGAAGAAAGGUGGUAAGGCAUGGGUCCAAGCAGCCGCCAGCCAGCCAACCUGUCCACGGAUGAUGGAACGAUAAACGGCGGACGGCGGAUGACAAACGAGAAAGAACGAAGGACCGAGAGGACGUGUGAUGGGUUGCGAACGAAUCGCAGCUCGCCCGAUUGUCUCACCGCGGUAACGGUGACUACAGAUUAAACUGUGGAUUUUGCGAACCGCAAUGCUUGUUGCGAAAUUAAUCCACGCAGUUCGUUAUUACGACAGUUACAUCGGUGGUACGUGUAAUCUGACCGUGCUUUUGUUGCUGAGCACAUCGAAACCACCGAACAAUUCUUCUUUGUUAAUGGCGUCUGUUUACGAUAUAAAACUGUUUGUCCGCGAUAAUGGCCGUCGCAAUGCGCACCAAUAAUUAUUUCGAAUUACGAAAUCGCGAAAUGGGCUUUUACACGGAGUUACGAACUGCAAUCAUUCUCGCGCGUAUAAACGUCGAUCGAACCGCAUUGCGAUUGUUUCGCGAGAGAGCGAACGCGAUUCGUCGCGUUCUAGCCAACCGCUAUCGGUGGGGGGGCGAGGGGGAGGAAGGGGGGGAAAAAAAAGGAAACAAAACAAAAUCGUAACGAUUUAGCGAUAUAUCAUACCGCGCCGAUUCUUUACACGAUCGAAAAGGAUAGGCUUUGAACGGAUAACUUUCUUAUCCGUCGUUUAUUAAUUCGAUCGAAUAAUUUUCUUUUUUUAUAUAUAUUUAAAUUACUCCAAGUGUACCACUAUCAUUUAUAUAGAUUAGGUUAAGUUGAUAUAUCAAUUUUUCUUACAAGCACGUUUAAAUUAUACGUGAAUCCAAUACGUAUUACGCUGUCGUUUGUAGAUAUAGGUUAAGUUAGGUUAGGUUAUAUACACGUGCGUGUAAAUUACACGUAUGCUGAGUAUAUUAUGCACGUCAUCAUUUGUGUAAGUUAGGUUAGGUUAAUCAAUAUCAAUUUUUGUUAUAGACACGUUUCUAAAUACACUAUCGCUUGUAGAUAUAGGUUAAGUUGAUUAUCGAUAUACUGUCUGUCGUACGAAUUCGAUCGCUUUUUCUUCUAUCCAAAUUACAUUAUCAAUUGUCAACAUAUGAGUCGUCCAUCAGCAUAUAUAAUGUUAAAUUUACGUGAAAUUUCUGUUCUAUUCAAUAUGCGUGUGUGUACGUGCGCGAUUUUUUUUUUUUUAAAACGCACGCGCGAGAAAUCACGGUGCUUAACCCCGAUCCCGAUCUCCGAAAUGUUGGAUUCUUACCGACAAUAUCAAAAUUUUACGCGGUAUACAGCACCGAUUAGUCGUGCCGCUACUCGAUAAAAUAAUUUAUCGAAUAUAUUUCAAUUUCACGCGUAUUAUGCCGCCCCGAAAGAGUAAUUCAAUGGAAAAUAUAAAUAUUCAUUUGCGGGGAUUUAAAGCGAACGGAUGUUCUCUCUCUCUCUCUCUCUCCCCCCUCCCUCUCGUACACUUACCCGUUACUCCCUCUCGCUCACUCACUCCCAUCGAAUCCAUAUCCCUCCUUUUCUGCCCCCCUCCCCCUUGCCCCCUCCCUGUUUUCACCCCGCCUACUCAACGAACCGAUGAUUUAUACCGGCAAAAUAAUAAUUUAAUUUCACCGCAGUUGGGCACGAUACAAAAUUGCACGACAAAAAUAAUAAAUAAAUUUUGUGCCGA
rnacentral:lncRNA from 1 species